rnacentral:rRNA from 1 species
UCGUACGCUGAAGCCCGCGCUUGCGUGGGUGGAUGAGUGGCGAACGGGUGAGUAACACGUGGGUAAUCUGCCUCAUGCUCUGGGAUAAGCCUGGGAAACUGGGUCUAAUACCGGAUAGGACCAUUCCUCGCAUGAGGGGUGGUGGAAAGCUUCGGCGGUAUGAGUUGAGCCCGCGGCCUAUCAGCUUGUUGGUGGGGUGAUGGCCUACCAAGGCGGUGACGGGUAGCCGGCCUGAGAGGGCGACCGGCCACACUGGGACUGAGACACGGCCCAGACUCCUACGGGAGGCAGCAGUGGGGAAUAUUGCACAAUGGGCGCAAGCCUGAUGCAGCGACGCCGCGUGAGGGAUGACGGCCUUCGGGUUGUAAACCUCUUUCGCCAGGGACGAAGGGUGAUACUGACGGUACCUGGAGAAGAAGCACCGGCUAACUACGUGCCAGCAGCCGCGGUAAUACGUAGGGUGCAAGCGUUGUCCGGAAUUAUUGGGCGUAAAGAGCUCGUAGGCGGUGUGUCACGUCUGCCGUGAAAACCUACAGCUUAACUGUGGGCGUGCGGUGGAUACGGGCAUCACUUGAGUUCGGCAGGGGAGACUGGAAUUCCUGGUGUAGCGGUGGAAUGCGCAGAUAUCAGGAGGAACACCGGUGGCGAAGGCGGGUCUCUGGGCCGAUACUGACGCUGAGGAGCGAAAGCGUGGGGAGCGAACAGGAUUAGAUACCCUGGUAGUCCACGCUGUAAACGUUGGGCGCUAGGUGUGGGGUGCUGUCCAUGUACUCCGUGCCGUAGCUAACGCAUUAAGCGCCCCGCCUGGGGAGUACGGCCGCAAGGCUAAAACUCAAA